GGAAUGCAAGCUCGGACCAAGAUUUAAAAAAAAUACUCGUUUAACGGUUUGGGAACGUCCGGAUGCGUUUAUUAUUUUAUCGUGUCUUGUUAUGUUGACGUUUAAUGAAUAUUCUAUUUAUAUUCCACCGUUUAAUGGACGACGCGACGGAGAAGAUUUAGUAAAAUCUUGGAUGUUCAUCUGACCCUGGCCAGCAACGGAGAUUUCCUUUCCCAGAUGCCGGCAGCUUCCGCACAUGACACCACAUGGAAAAGCACUCCUCGCAAACUCCAUGCUGCCGUGGCAUUUCCUAAUGGAUCACGAGAGAGAGAGCAUCAAUGGAUUCAGCUCCACACUCACUCUACUCAGACUUCCAAUGCAUUUCAACAUGGGCCUGAAUCCAGGGGGCUGCAGGAAAAGCCUCAUCCUUGCUGCUCCAGCACGAGUGACAGGUGUGCAGAGCGGCCUGCAGCGUCCUCUUGUAUUAGAGGCAAACCCACUGACCCCCUUUAGCAACAAUGCUACAUAUUUUGGACAAAUUCCUGAAGCCCAUCUGAGCAUCUGUUUAUCGCCCCCCCCCCCCAUUUCAGCAGGCCUCUCACUACGAUAACCUCACAGUGCUGCCGUUACGAUUAAACUAUUCGUUUGAAUUAUAAUUGGGACCAGAUGUGAAAGAAAGACUUUACAGAGCUGAAAAAAAUGAAUGAAAACAACUUCCUGAGCAGAAUGUUCUCACGCUUUCCACGGCCUGCAUUCUCGUGCAGGGAUCCUCCCACUGAUUUCUUAGAAUCGCGCAAACUGGAAGUCAGGCCCAGUGACUUUCACGCUCUCACGUCUGGCACUUCAUGGGUCCCUUCGUCAGCUUUAACGAACUUGUGUGCCGCAGUGUCAACACUCGAGCGGGGUUCCUGCACAGGCCUGCUGUGUGCUGUAUUCUCUUAUCGCUUGAAAUCCCAUGGUCACACCCUAUUAGGUGCGAAACCUGUUUCACCUGCAUGGCAUUCAAGCCUGUGUGUGCCCAGAAAAAGCCGAAUGUGUAUUUCACUAUCUGCUUCUGUACAGAGGGAUCGGGCUCAGGAGCCAUCCAGUUCUGAUCCACAAUGGACUUUAUCCUCCUGAGACCCGGUCCAUUCAUUUAUGUCCAUUGUAGUGGACAUUUUGUUUUUGCAUCUUUUCACUGAUGUAAGGAAACAUAUUUAUUCCUGUUGUACACUAAAGA